CAGCAGCCGCGGGAAUACGUAGGGUGCGAGCGUUAAUCGGAAAUACUGGGCGUAAAGCGUGCGCAGGCGGUUGUGUAAGACAGGUGUGAAAUCCCCGGGCUUAACCUGGGAACUGCGCUUGUGACUGCACAGCUAGAGUGUGGCAGAGGGGGGUGGAAUUCCGCGUGUAGCAGUGAAAUGCGUAGAUAUGCGGAGGAGCACCGAUGGCGAAGGCAGCCCCCUGGGCCAACACUGACGCUCAUGCACGAAAGCGUGGGGAGCAAACAGGAUUAGAUACCCCCGUAGUCCCUGUCUCUUAUAC
rnacentral:rRNA from 1 species